rnacentral:rRNA from 1 species
CGUAGGGUGCGAGCGUUAAUCGGAAUUACUGGGCGUAAAGCGUGCGCAGGCGGUUUGUUAAGAUAGGCGUGAAAUCCCCGGGCUCAACCUGGGAACUGCGCUUAUGACUGGCAAGCUAGAGUACGGCAGAGGGGGGUGGGAAUUCCACGUGUAGCAGUGAAAUGCGUAGAGAUGUGGAGGAACACCAAUGGCGAAGGCAGCCCCCUGGGUCGAUACUGACGCUCAUGCACGAAAGCGUGGGUAGCAAACAGGAUUAGAUACCCUGGUAGUCCACGCCCUAAACGAUGUCAACUAGGUGUUGGGAGGGUAAAACCUUUUAGUACCGGAGCUAACGCGUGAAGUUGACCGCCUGGGGAGUACGGCCGCAAGGUUA